AUAGCUGUAUGGCUGUGACAUCUGUCAUCCCAUUGAUCGCCAGGGUUGAUUCAGCUGAUCUGGCUGGCUAGGCAGGUGUCCCCUUCCUGCCUCAUAGCUCCCUGUGCGGCCUUCCCUGAACAGAGACCACCAGGUCGAGGGUAUAGGAGUAGCUGUGCUUCCCUGCUAGAACCUCUAAAUAAGCCCGCAAGAAACAACAACAAAAAUAGAAAACACAGAGUGAAAUUUUCUGUGGUGUCUUU
rnacentral:snRNA from 1 species